UCCAAUCAACCAAGGUAACGACUACUAGCCAAUCAGAGGCUAAUGAGGGCGGGCCUUCACGGAAAGCGGGUGGGAAAAAAUAAGUAUUCUGACAACAUGGGGUGUGCAUUCCUGUUCGCCCUCUAUCAAUGUACUUUCUGGGCCACUGUAGCGGUUCACAUCCACCUCAGGGACAAAUGCCCAGCGAUACCUGUACAUGGAACAAACAGUGACACAGAAAAGGGUCUUACAUCUGAAAGAGUGGUAUCCUUUCUGGAGGAAACGCCAAGGAGGUGUCCAGAAACUUGCAGGCUGACAGAUACAUGUCCAAGUCU